GGACUACCGGGGUAUCUAAUCCCGUUUGCUCCCCUGGCUUUCGCGCCUCAGCGUCAGGUGAGGUCCAGCACGCCGCUUUCGCCACCGGCGUUCCUUCCGAUAUCUACGCAUUUCACCGCUCCACCGGAAGUUCCGCAUGCCCCUACCUCCCUCGAGCUGUCCAGUAUCGGGAGCCCUUGUCCGGUUGGGCCGAACGAUUUCACUCCCGACUAUGACAGCCGCCUACGCGCCCUUUAAGCCCAGUGAAUCCGAACAACGUUCGCACGGUUCGUCUUACCGCGGCUGCUGGCAC
rnacentral:rRNA from 2 species